rnacentral:rRNA from 1 species
UGGGAAUUUGGACGAAUGGGCGAAAGCCUGAUCCAGCAAUGCCGCGUGUGUGAAGAAGGCCUUCGGGUUGUAAAGCACUUUUGUCCGGAAAGAAAUCCUUGGCUCUAAUACAGUCGGGGGAUGACGGUACCGGAAGAAUAAGCACCGGCUAACUACGUGCCAGCAGCCGCGGUAAUACGUAGGGUGCAAGCGUUAAUCGGAAUUACUGGGCGUAAAGCGUGCGCAGGCGGUUUGCUAAGACCGAUGUGAAAUCCCCGGGCUCAACCUGGGAACUGCAUUGGUGACUGGCAGGCUAGAGUAUGGCAGAGGGGGGUAGAAUUCCACGUGUAGCAGUGAAAUGCGUAGAGAUGUGGAGGAAUACCGAUGGCGAAGGCAGCCCCCUGGGCAAUACUGACGCUCAUGCACGAAAGCGUGGGGAGCAAACAGGAUUAGAUACCCUGGUAGUCCACGCCCUAAACGAUGUCAACUAGUUGUUGGGGAUUCAUUUCCUUAGUAACGUAGCUAACGCGUGAAGUUGACCGCCUGGGGAGUACGGUCGCAAGAUC